AACGAACGCUGGCGGCGCGUUUUAAGCAUGCAAGUCGAACGGCAAGGCAUCUUCGGAUGCCCUAGAGUGGCGAACGGGUGAGUAACACGUAGGUGAUGUGCCCUGAAGUUGGGGAUAGCUCAUGGAAACAUGGGGUAAUACCGAAUAAUCUGGCAGUUUUUGAAUUGUCAGGAAAGAGGCGUUUGCCUCGCUUUUGGAUCAGCCUGCGGCUUAUUAGCUAGUUGGUGGGGUAAAUGCCUACCAAGACAAUGAUACGUAGCCGAACUGAGAGGUUGAUCGGCCACAUCGGGACUGAGACACGGCCCGGACUUCUACGGAAGGCAGCAGUAAGGAAUUUUUUCACAAUGGGCGAAAGCCUGAUGAAGCAAU
rnacentral:rRNA from 1 species